UACGAAGGGGGCUAGCGUUGCUCGGAAUCACUGGGCGUAAAGGGUGCGUAGGCGGGUUCUUAAGUCAGAGGUGAAAUCCUGGAGCUCAACUCCAGAACUGCCUUUGAUACUGAGAGUCUUGAGUUCGGGAGAGGUGAGUGGAACUGCGGGUGUAGAGGUGAAAUUCGUAGAUAUUCGCAAGAACACCAGUGGCGAAGGCGGCUCACUGGCCCGAUACUGACGCUGAGGCACGAAAGCGUGGGGAGCAAACAGG
rnacentral:rRNA from 1 species